CGGUCACAUUGGGACUGAGAUACGGCCCAGACUCCUACGGGAGGCAGCAGUGGGGAAUUUUGCACAAUGGGGGGAACCUUGAUGCAGCGACGCCGCGUGAGGGAUGGAGGCCUUCGGGUUGUGAACCUCUUUCGCUCGUGUGCAAGCCGCUAUUUGGGUAGUGGUGAGUGUAGCGGGUAAAGAAGCGCCGGCUAACUACGUGCCAGCAGCCGCGGUAAUACGUAGGGCGCGAGCGUUGUCCGGAUUUAUUGGGCGUAAAGGGCUUGUAGGCGGUUUGUCGCGCCUGUCGUGUAAUCCUCUGGCUUAACUGGGGGUGUGCGGUGGGUACGGGCAGGCUUGAGUGCGGUAGGGGAGAUUGGAAUUCCUGGUGUAGCGGUGGAAUGCGCAGAUAUCAGGAGGAACACCGGUGGCGAAGGCGGGUCUCUGGGCCGUUACUGACGCUGAGGAGCGAAAGCGUGGGGAGCGAACAGGAUUAGAUACCCUGGUAGUCCAUGCUGUAAACGUUGGGCACUAGGUGUGGGGGCCGCCCUUGGUUUCUGCGCCGUAGCUAACGCUUUAAGUGCCCCGCCUGGGGAGUACGGCCGCAAGGCUAAAACUCAAAGGAAUUGACGGGGGCCCGCACAAGCGGCGGAGCAUGCGGAUUAAUUCGAUGCAACGCGAAGAACCUUACCAAGGCUUGACAUGCGCCCUGAGCGCCUAGAGAUAGGUGUGCAUUUGGUUGGGGGUGUGCAGGUGGUGCAUGGUUGUCGUCAGCUCGUGUCGUGAGAUGUUGGGUUAAGUCCCGCAACGAGCGCAACCCUUGCCCUAUGUUGCCAGCGCGUUAUGGUGGGGACUCGUGGGGGACUGCCGGGGUUAACUCGGAGGAAGGUGGGGAUGACGUCAAAUCAUCAUGCCCCUUAUGUCUUGGGCUUCACGCAUGCUACAAUGGCAGGUACAGAGGGUUGCGAUGCUGUGAGGUGGAGCGAAUCCUUUAAAGCUUGUCUCAGUUCGGAUCGGGGUCUGCAAUUCGACCUCGUGAAGGUGGAGUCGCUAGUAAUCGCAGAUCAGCUACGCUGCGGUGAAUACGUUCUCGGGCCUUGUACACACCGCCCGUCACGUCACGAAAGUUGGUAACACCCGAAGCUUGUGGCUUAACCUUUUUGGGGGGAGCAGGUGACGGUGGGAUUGGCGAUUGGGACGAAGUCGUAACAAGGUAGGCGUACCGGAAGGUGCGGCUG
rnacentral:rRNA from 1 species